CAAAGCUGCAGGGGCAGACGGCUAACAUGUCCUUGUAACAGAGGAAAGAACACCGCCAUUAUCUCAUAACUGCUCUCUUGGUCCAAUUACGGUACUUCACAAGUGCAACAUAAAGUGGGGACGAUUCCUCCACAUUCGCGUUGGAAGCUGCAAAAGAAUAAAGCACCGCAGGUGGGCGUGGCCGGCUGUCUGAGCACCUGAGAUCCAUCAACCCAUCUACCUGUGAGGGAUUUAAGGAGCUGCAGCCAUCUCUUCCUCGCC